GUAACUUCCAGCAGUGGAUCUCUAGGCUCAAGUGCUGAGGAAGGGUGCAGCAAAGUGUGAUAAGCAUUGUGAUGUGCGAGAUCCUGUGAACCAUUAGACUCCCGAGCGCACUCUGUACUUCUAGGAGCUCCUGGAAGUAAUCCAGCUUCAGGGUCAUG
rnacentral:rRNA from 1 species